rnacentral:rRNA from 1 species
ACUCCUACGGGAGGCAGCAGUGGGGAAUAUUGCACAAUGGGCGCAAGCCUGAUGCAGCCAUGCCGCGUGUAUGAAGAAGGCCUUCGGGUUGUAAAGUACUUUCAGCAGUGAGGAAGGGUGGUAUGUUAAUAGCAUACUUCAUUGACUGUAGCUGCAGAAGAAGCACCGGCUAACUCCGUGCCAGCAGCCGCGGUAAUACGGAGGGUGCGAGCGUUAAUCGGAAUUACUGGGCGUAAAGCGCAUGCAGGUGGUUUGUUAAGUCAGAUGUGAAAGCCCGGGGCUCAACCUCGGAAUUGCAUUGAACUUGGAC